rnacentral:snoRNA from 1 species
GACCUCUCUCCCACAGGGACAUAUGGAAUCAUUCUUCUCUUCAGCCAGGGCUGGAGGCCAAGACAGCCCUUGAAAAUCAUCAUUGGGACUGCUGAGAGCUGGGCAGCCUUGUUUAUCUCCCUCAUUUGAAG